CUGGUGCCUGCGGAGUGUACCCUGGCGAUGUUGAAUAACAUGGAGGCUUUUUACAGGCAACAUUGAGCUGAAGUGCCUAGCUAGCCGCUCUGACUGCUGCAUUGAGAGCUCUCAACUUCCAUCUUGUUUGAUGCUGCUAGACCUGUUGAGUUUUCCGGCGCUCUCUGUUUUCACUUCAGAUUUGCAGGAUCCGCAGUAUUUUGCCUCUGGGCAGGGAUGCUAGUGAAGAAACAGGAAACAAAGGAUUGAGUGGACUGAAGGUAUAACCAUGUUGCCAUCUCCCCUGGAAGCCAAGAUUGGGAAGACUGAAUCGAAAGCUAGAAUCUGUGUGACAGGUACUGGUGGAAAGUUUUGGGCAUAACGUUGAAGCAGCAAUGGAAAUAGGCUUAACAGGAAAAUGAUGAAGGGACAUGCAGGAAGUGUGUGAAAAUGCUGAAAUAAAAUUACAAAGAUAAGCAAA